rnacentral:rRNA from 1 species
UACGAACGCUGGCGGCGUGCCUAACACAUGCAAGUCGAACGAAGCUUGAUCACGGAUUCUUCGGAUGAAGUGUGAUAUGACUUAGUGGCGGACGGGUGAGUAACGCGUGAGCAACCUGCCUUUCAGAGGGGGAUAACAGUUGGAAACGACUGCUAAUACCGCAUAAUGCAACGGAAUCGCAUGACUCUGUUGCCAAAGAUUUAUCGCUCUGAGAUGGCCUCGCGUCUGAUUAGCUAGUUGGCGGGGUAACGGCCCACCAAGGCGACGAUCAGUAGCCGGACUGAGAGGUUGGCCGGCCACAUUGGGACUGAGACACGGCCCAG